GGAAUGACAGUAUUUAGCUUAUGAGGGCUAUCACGAGGAUUAAGUGACAGUGACGUCGCAUAUGAUAUACCAAGCUGGAAGGCGGAUUUCAAGAUCCAAAGCUGAACUGAAAGCAGGGAGAAGUUUUCUAUUAUAACAAGAAAAUAAUUCCUCCCAUUGGGAAAAUAGAUCUCUUCAGCAUUAAGAAGAUGGCCAUCUGCAAACCAAGAAGCUGGCCCUCUCCAGACACUGGAUCUGCCAGCACCUUGAUUUUGAAUUUCCAGCCUCCAGAACCACAAGAAACAGAUUUCUAUUGUUCAAGGCACCAAGUCUAUGCUAUUCUGGUGCAGCGGCCUGAGCUAAGACACCACCUUAGUUUGACAUCUAAGAAAGUGUCAUCACUACCAAUGAUGCUGACAAUCUCUAGAAAGCAGAUUAGUGCUAACGGAUGUGAAAACCCAUAGGUCAGGUUUCCAUGAAUCCUUGAGCACUGUGAUUUAAUGAUUGAUUACUCUCACAAGGGACAGCUCAGCAGAUGAGACUUUGUUCCAGGUUUGAACCUAUUUAGUUUUACUGAAAUUAAAAAUUUAGAAAACAAUUUGAGAAUUUCUGUAUGUUACCAGUAG